rnacentral:lncRNA from 1 species
GGAAACUCCCCCAUUCAGCUUAAUUUCGUAAUGGUUACAAUGGGGUGGCUUUAUAGCCAGAUUACAAGUUGCAAGUGAUUAAACAAUUGUUAAAGUACAGAUUUACUAAACUAAUAUUAUUGUAGGGUUUCUGAUGGAGCCAGGAGGAUGCAGCCAAGGAGAAUCUCGACCAGAGGGAGUAGAGAGUGACAGGAGAGAGAGAUGGGCACAGUCUGGUUGGGUGAAAGUGACAGCAGGUUCAUCUCCUUAUGCACAUGUGACUUUUAUCUUAAUUAAUUCUCCAACUUGCCAGAUCUCUCUCCAACGGUCUCAUACUUAGUUUAAACUUCAAAUAUGCUUCAGAAAGCUCAGCUGGACGAGUUCCCCACUUGCCUUGACUUCCAAGACACUCUAGGUUAGGUUUGGUUACUUGCAAGCCAAAACUGUACGGACAGAUUCAAAUCUGCUUGUUCCGGAUUUGCUUGCUCUUGAAGCUUGGUCUCUUCAUCAACUCCAGCUUCUUACUUCUUCAUUCCAACAGGUCCUAGGAUCUCAUUAAGAGGCAAAGAAUAAUGUCUUGAACUAGUUGAAUAAGAGGUCUGAUGAAACUAGUAUGAACUUGAAUCAGAAACAAAGAGACUUAGAGAGAUUAAGAGAUUAGAGACUAAGAAAGGGGUAGAUUAAGGGAAUCUGAUCAAGAACACACUUUUAUAUUUAUGAAGGAGAUGGGGAAAACCCCCAUACUCUCUUAAGAGAGUUACAAACGCCCAUGAGGGUCUUUAUAUAGGUUUUACACUCUUGCAAACUCAUAAACCUAUAUCUAAUGGAUAGAAAUAACUUAAGAGGAAUGGAUGGUGAGGAUGAGUUGGUCUUGUUGUAAUCUGAGUGAUGUGUGCUGAUUGGAUAAGCUAAGCUGGCUCACUUUAAUUCAAACCAAGGCAAGCUGGCUCCUUGCUUGUGAUUGGCUCUCCUUAGGCUCCUACUAAUCUUCCCAUGCAUCUGUCCAGGUUCAUGGUCGUGGCUCCCUUCUCUUUACAGCAAGAGACAGCCUGUCCAAGACCAGAACUAGCCAAUCACACACAAGGAAGCUCCCAUUGGUUGUUUGCCUCCACAAAGCAUCUUCUUGAUUCCCUUUGACUAGAUUCAAACCUUGGUGCCUUAUCCAUAUACUAUGCACACUCUUCACAUCCUGAAUAGUGACCCAAAUAGUGAAUAGUCAACCUGAAUAGUGACUAGUGAUUCACUAUUCACUUUUACACAAACUUGCCCAAACUUCUCCAAUCUUACUGUGGUAACUUUCCAAAGUUACUGUGGUAACUUUGGAGUUACUGUCUGACCCAAAUCUUCUCCAAAUGGUGUCUAAGUCCCUCCUGGACUUAACCCUAUCUUUGCACACUCAUCAGACCACUUCUGAAGCCUUAAGACUCUCCCAAAGCCUUAACAUACAAUCUCUGAAGAUCUUGCCAUGUCUUUGCACAAGCACCAACUCAACUCAUCACUUUUGCUUCUCCACUUCUUCUCUUCAAGUUAACACUCCCCCUCAAGCUUGACUCUAGCUGAUCCUAAGUCAAGCUUGGAACCUUGAAGAACUUCCUCAUUAAAAACCUCACCAAGGAAAACCCUUUGGGACAAAACCUUGAUGAGGGAAAAAGAGUAAAGUCUCCAAGGCUUAGGGAUUGGCCAGUGAGUCUUUGUGCCUUACCAACAAUGUAAGGGACACAAAGACUCUGGAUCAUGGCCUCUACAAUCAUCCCACGCCUUGUACUCUCCUUACUGCCUAAUCUUGGUCUCUCCCCCUUUCACCUAACCUCUUGUUAGGUUGAAGUGCUCGGACACACCAGAUCAGCCUCUUCUUGGAGAUACAACUUCUCUUACUGAGUCUUGGCUGCUUCUUCUUCUUAUAGAGUCGCCACCUUGUUGCUUGAGCUACAUGAGGAUGCUUCAGACACUCUCCAAUCACCUCAACACUUGAAGCCGCCUUGGACAUUGCUUCUUCAUCCUUCAUCAUACUUCUCAACAGGUUGCUUCCUCUUCUAGAAUAACCACCAAGCUCUCUUGGAUCAUGUAAGCUUCAACACUCCCCCUCAAGCUUGAGACUCUCACAGGAACAAGCUUGAAUGGAUUGCUUCAUGAUCCUCACGCACACACCAUUGCCGCUCCUCUUCUGAUCUUGCCAUCUUCAUGGAAUGCUUGUGGAAGCUUCAGCUAUCUCUCCAAUCACUUCACACUAGAAGCCGCCUUGAUAGAGUUGCCUUCAUCUUCUCACAGCCAAGAGUACUCUGUCUUAGUUUGAGUACUCUCUUGAAUAGACUCGCCACAGCCUAAGCCCGGAUGGCUCCUUCUUCAGAUGCUUGCAAUGGACUUCUUGGAUCGCUUGGAAACUCACUAAACUCCCCUCCUCAAGCUUGGAUUGAGUAUAGGUCCAAGCUUGCAAGUGAGCUUCAGUGACACUUCACACCAGUGGCGCAUCACCACUUCUCUCUCAACUCUCCAUUGCUCCACACAAUGGGCAAAGUCUUCCUCUUUCAACUCGGAUGGAUGGUGAACCAAGAACACCUCUUGUGAACCUGAAACAUCACUCAAACUCCAGCAAAGAUAAGACACAAGUGCAUUGGGUCAACCCUUGAUGCAUCAUCAAGUUUGAACACCAAUGUCUUUAAGCAAUGCAACAGAUUAAACUAGACAUUUUCAAGUUCUAAUCUUUGCAAGCAAACUCUCUAAGCACUAGCAUGAUCCUAACAGAUUCAAUACAAGCUACUUAGGCAAUUUUUAAAGCUUCUUUACUCAGCAUUUAGACAUGAAUCUAAUGCUUCAAUGUAAGACAGCCAUUUGACAGUAUGCACUAACCCUAAUCAGUUUUAAUUCAUGAAUGCAACAAUACAAUUCAUCACACAUUCAUUUAUAACUUAGGCUAAGCAUUACUAUCAUCACUUAACAUCAGACAAUGCAUUACUUUCAAUCUGUUUUCAGUUCAUGAGCUUCAAACAAUAUCAUUUCACAUUUAGCAAACUCAUUACUUAACAGGAGCAAGCAUUUUACUCUUUAAACACUAAACAAGCCUUUAAAGCAUCCUGGGACAGAUUCAACUAAUUAUAUUUAGCAAUCACACAUUAUCCUCAGGGUUUUUCAAUCAAUACACAUCACAAUAACCAGGCACAGUCACAACACAAGCUCAUUAUCAAGAAGGGAAAGUAAUAGCUUACAGCCAAGGAACCGGUUUGGUUCCUUGAACCUCCAAUGGCUUAUGGCUCAUGGUUUUGUUGGACAUGAGAGUAUGGAUCGUCACCCAGCCUCUCCUCCUUCUACUCAUGGCCACCUUCUUGUUUCUACAGCUCAAACACCCCUCCUUUCUUCAUACUUCAAGUCGCCAUCUUCAUGACAAUCUACUCUUCUUGUAGCCGGAUGCAAGCAGCUCAUGGACAAGGAGUUUUGGCCUGAGGUUCAUGACGCCUCUCCAUCCUCCUUUGCUUCCAAGGUGGCUCUUCAUCAAGACAGGUAUGAGAAAGGUUUGAGGAACCAGAAUGACACGCCAAGCUUCAGUCUUCAUGGAGAAGCUGAACCGGAUGGAGCUGUCUUCUUCAUGGCUUGGAUUUGAGCUGAGGUGAGAGCUGUGGAUUUGCGGAAGCUCAGCUCAGGUUCUGAUGAACCUGGCUCUGAUACCAUAUGAGAUUUGAGAGCUCUGGCUGUGUAUGUGUAAGAAAAGCCAUUAAAGGCAAAGAUAAGGUCUUGAACUAGUUGAAUAAGAGGUCUGAUGAAACUAGUAUGAACUUGAAUCAGAAACAAAGAGACUUUGAGAGAUUAAGAGAUUAGAGACUAAGAAAGGGGUAGAUUAAGGGAAUCUGAUCAAGAACACACUUUUAUAAUUAUGAAGGAGAUGGGGAAAACCCCCAUACUCUCUUAAGAGAGUUACAAACGCCCAUGAGGUCUUUAUAUAGGUUUUACACUCUUGCAAACUCAUAAACCUAUAUCUAAUGGAUAGAAAUAACUUAAGAGGAAUGGAUGGUGAGGAUGAGUUGGUCUUGUUGUGAUCUGAGUGAUGUGUGCUGAUUGGUUGAGCUAAGCUGGCUCACUUUAAUUCAAACAAGGCUGUGCUGUGAUUGGCUCUCCUUUGGCUCCUUUGUAUCUGUCUACAGAUCAGUCUAGGUGCAUGGUCGUGGCUGCUCUUCCUUUACAGCAACAGCCAGCCUGUCCAUGCCCCCAAGUAACCAAUCAGCUCCACACAGCAUCUUCUUGAUUCCCUUUGACUAGAUUCAAACCUUGGUGCCUCACAUCCUGAAUAGUGAUCCAAAUAGUGAAUAGUCAACCUGAAUAGUGACUAGUGAUUCACUAUUCACUUUUACACCAACUUGCCCAAACUUCUCCAAUCUUACUGUGGUAACUCUCCAAAGUUACUGUGGUAACUUUGGAGUUACUGUCUGACCCAAAUCUUCUCUAAAUGGUGUCUAAGUCCCUCCUGGACUUAACCCUAUCUUUGCACACUCAUCAGACCACUUCUGAAGCCUUAAGACUCUCCCAAAGCCUUAACAUACAAUCUCUGAAGAUCUUGCCAUGUCUUUGCACAAUCACCAACUCAACUCAUCACUUUUGCUUCUCCACUUCUUCUCUUCAAGUUAACACUCCCCCUCAAGCUUGACUCUAGCUGAUCCUAAGUCAAGCUUGGAACCUUGAAGAACUUCCUCAUUAAAAACCUCACGCUCUCUCCUCAGCUCAAAUCCAAACCAGUGAAGCUCUCUCCAUCCGGUUCAGCCUCUUAUGAAGAAGAAGACUGAAGCUUGGCGAGUUCUCAUGGUUCCUCAUCCUGUUCUCUUCCUGUCCUGAUGGUGGUUCUCAUUGGAAGCAAAGGUGUAUGGACAAGGCCUAGCUAUCCUUGUACCAAGGCGCCUUGUCCAAGAGAAGAUCACAUCCGGUUCCAAAGAAGAUGGUGUCAAGAGCUUGGCGCCUAGUGGAGAUGAAGAAAGGAGGGGUCUUUGAAGCUGAUGGUACAAGAAGGGGGCCAUGAACUGAAGGUGAAGGAGGUGGGUGACGAUCCAUACUCUCAAGACCAG